UGGGCUAUUGAGGGGAUAUUGUUAGUGGCAAAGUAAUCAAGUAUGCUUUUUCGAAAAUAAAAAGGAAUUAGGCUUUUGAGGGAUAUUCUCAGUGCCAAAAUAUAAAAGAAAAGGAGGAAAAAAAAAAUAAUCCAUUCAUAUGAUGGUUGUUGAAACACUUUUUCGUGCAAAAAAGUCAAUAAACUAGAGGUAAUCUAGGAUUCCUCCGUAGACUCCGUUAAUUAAAUUUUAGAUAGAAUUAAAUCUUUUAUUUUUAUUUGCUAACUAUUACUAAUGCAAGGUCUGAAAAUAAAAAAAAAUGAAAUUAAAAUAUAAAUA
rnacentral:lncRNA from 1 species